GUAGGUGGCAAGCGUUGUCCGGAAUUAUUGGGCGUAAAGCGCGCGCAGGCGGUCCUUUAAGUCUGAUGUGAAAGCCCACGGCUCAGCCGUGGAGGGUCAUUGGAAACUGGGGGACUUGAGUACAGAAGAGGAAAGCGGAAUUCCAAGUGUAGCGGUGAAAUGCGUAGAGAUUUGGAGGAACACCAGUGGCGAAGGCGGCUUUCUGGUCUGUAACUGACGCUGAGGCGCGAAAGCGUGGGGAGCAAACAGGGAUUAGAUACCCUGGUAGUCCACGCCGUAAACGAUGAGUGCUAAGUGUUAGGGGGUUUCCGCCCCCUUAGUGCUGCAGCUAACGCAUUAAGCACUCCGCCUGGGGAUACGGCCGCAAGGCUG
rnacentral:rRNA from 1 species